CGGCGAGAGAAAUGGAGGUUUCGCUGAGAAUGUCGAAGAAAUUGGGGGAGGCUGCGAGAUCGAGCAAGAAAGGGACUGACUACUGCCAAAUUAGGAGGAGACUAAGCCAUUUUUGCAGAGAAGAGAGGAAUCGAUUGUAGCCUUGUGCGUCAUGUUUUGGGGGAGGGGAGGAUUUGAGGGUUCGGUCCCAGAUGAGCGCGCCGCGGUGCAUCAGACCGUUUGUUGCGCCCCAAACAAGACCUACUGCGAUCAUCUUCUCUACGUCUCUUGCCAUCUCUCCAAUUGAACUAGUUCGAAAUUUGGGAUCUGUUUGGAUCUUGUGGGAUGAAAGUGAAAAGAAGAGAGAGGACAGUGAGAGAGAUUUUUGAGAAAAUUUUGAUCGACGGAUUUUGAAACUCUUUUUGAAAAUAUUAAAAAAAAUUGUUUUAAAAUCAUUACUGGUAAAUAAUGAAUAAUGUAUGAAAAUAUUUUUUUUUCAAAAAUAUUUUUUUGAAAAAGAUAUUCUACAAAAUUUAACAAUAUAAUCAAAACCAUUAAUUUUUUUAGAUUUCAUUUAGUGAAUUAUCCUAAAAAGUCGUAUUGAUCGGG
rnacentral:lncRNA from 1 species